GACAGAGGAGCCAAGCGUUGUCCGGAUUGACUGGGCGUAAAGCGCACGCAGGCGGCCCGGCGCGUGGGGUGUGAAAGCUGGCGGCUUAACUGCCAGACGCCAUCCCAUACGGCUGGGCUCGAGCCCUGCAGAGGUCCAGGGAAUUGCCGGUGUAGUGGUGAAAUGCGUAGAGAUCGGCAGGAACACCCAGGGGGAAACCAGUGGACUGGGCAGGAGCUGACGCUCAGGUGCGAAAGCGUGGGGAGCGAACCGG
rnacentral:rRNA from 1 species